GUUUUGUUAAUAUUAUGAAUGGCAAAUUAAGUAUUUAAUUGAUAAAAACCACUGUGAAUUUUUAAGUGUUAAGUCAGACAUCUAGUUUAGUUUAAACAUAUUUAUUUUAUAGUGGAUUGGGAAACAAGUUUUUCAACUUAUAUUUAUCACUUUCCAGUUUGCGGGUGCGAGUGCUGCCUUGUAGCGGCAUUAGCCUGCUCUUUUUCGAAAUCUACAAGGGUGUUUUAAACGUGCAAGAGAUAUGGCUCUCUCUUAACACGGGUCAGCCCCUUCCGACUGACUAUCAUCGUUUCCUCAAGACCAUACUCGCAAAUGGUGUCAAGGGAGAGCCGAAAAUUAAGUCCCUGAAAUUUUCAUCCUAGACGGGAAUUGAACCAGGAACCUUAGUCUGUCAUAAAAUAGAAGCUCCUUUAUAAUAAUACUUCCAAAAGGAAGGAAUAUUCUGAAAUGCUAUUUUCACUGGAAAAUAUAUUACAGUAAUGGUUUCUGUAAAAAUUAGCUGUAAUGCUUAUGGAAUAUUUGUACCCUCAAGAACAGAUUUUAUAGCAUUGUUUAUAACGGAGUGUCCAGAGGGACUUCUGAUAUUAUGGAACAAAUAUAUAUAUUAACAUAACUUCUAACUAGGAAACAAAAAGGAAAAAUAAAGAAAUAAUUCCUACAAUCUAUUUUAAACCAAAGUAAAAUAACAUGCCAAUGUUGACUCAUAUUAAGUAAAUAUAGAAAAUCUGAUCAAGGAGCGAGGAGUACUUGUUAUUGCGGAUUCUUUUCAAUAAUAUAUUUACAACUAGGCGACAUAAGAUUCAGUAUUGAGACCUUUUUUUUUAGAGGGAGGCCAAGGGGACCCAAUGAACCCCCUUUUUCUAGGAAAAAAUUGGUUGAUUUUAUUGGAAAUCCCCUUAAGCAUGGCCGGAGCAGGCACCCUCUAAGGCAGUCAGUGGGCCCCACUUAUGGGAUUCGCCACUGUUUUUAGUUGAUGUGUAAUAAGGAACUCCUGACUUUUUUGUUUAAUAACUUUAUGUGUAAAGGAAGUUUCCUCCUGUUAGGAUAUUACUUCCCAAGGUUGGAAGGAAAUGAAGUUCAUUUAAAGCCCUGGAUGGGUUUAUAGAAUAGUAAUUAAUGGGCCAAAUGUAAAUAGAGAAAAAAAAUUGAAUACACAAUAAUGCUGUGUUAGAUGUAACGAAUAGAGAAUAAUAUGGUGUUAAAAUAUAAAUAGAGAAUAAUAAAUAAAGAUAAAAGAAAACAGAAAGACUGAUUUUGAUUGUCUGUUUAUUAUCCUUAACUUAAUAAACUUAAUCAUCAAUCUUUCAAACAUCUAAAAUUUAAUGUGCAUCAUUGUCUGUUUCUCUUUUUCGCCAC
rnacentral:lncRNA from 1 species